rnacentral:rRNA from 1 species
AGUGAACGCUGGCGGUAGGCCUAACACAUGCAAGUCGAACGGCAGCACAGUAAGAGCUUGCUCGUACGGGUGGCGAGUGGAGGACGGGUGAGGAAUACAUCGGAAUCUACUUUUUCGUGGGGGAUAACGUAGGGAAACUUACGCUAAUACCGCAUACGACCUACGGGUGAAAGCAGGGGAUCUUCGGACCUUGCGCGAUUGAAUGAGCCGAUGUCGGAUUAGCUAGUUGGCGGGGUAAAGGCCCACCAAGGCGACGAUCCGUAGCUGGUCUGAGAGGAUGAUCAGCCACACUGGAACUGAGACACGGUCCAGACUCCUACGGGAGGCAGCAGUGGGGAAUAUUGGACAAUGGGCGCAAGCCUGAUCCAGCCAUACCGCGUGGGUGAAGAAGGCCUUCGGGUUGCAAAGCCCUUUUGUUGGGAAAGAAAAGCAGCUGGUUAAUACCCCGCUGUUCUGACGGUACCCAAAGAAUAAGCACCGGCUAACUUCGUG